rnacentral:rRNA from 1 species
GAUGAACGCUGGCGGCGUGCCUAAUACAUGCAAGUCGAACGAAGAAACUUGGUGCUUGCACCUCGCGGAUGAGCUGCGGACGGGUGAGUAACGCGUAGGUAACCUGCCUGGUAGCGGGGGAUAACUAUUGGAAACGAUAGCUAAUACCGCAUAAGAGUAGAUGUCGCAUGACAUUUGAUUAAAAGGCGCAAUUGCACCACUACCAGAUGGACUUGCGUCGUAUUAGGUUGUUGGUGGGGUAAAGGGUUACCAAGGCGACGAUACAUAACCGACCUUAGAGGGUGAUCCGCCACACUGGGACUGGGACCCGGCCCAGACUCCUACGGGAAGCAGCAGUAGGGGAUCUUCGGGAAGGGAGGGAAGGCUGACCGGGCAACGGCGGGGGAGUGGAGAAGGGUUUCGGAACGUAAAGCUCUGGUGAUAGAGAAGAACGAAUUGUGUAAGUGAAAAUUCACACUUUGACGGUACCUAACCAGAAAGGGACGGCUAACUACGUG